rnacentral:lncRNA from 1 species
ACAUCAAGAUACUAUUCACCCUUUUUUUAAUAUUAUUAAAUUCUCAUUUUGCCCCUAACACUUCAACAUAUCUAUGGUUAUGCCAUUAACUUUUGAUUCCUUCCAAUUUUACCCCUUAUAUCAAUUUUAAAGGACUAUUCUAUCCCUUUUUAUAUAUAAAAAAAAAUUUGGGUUAUUACAUCCUCCCCUCCUUAUAUAAAAUUCGUCCUCGAAUUUAAAAGAGUAAAUUACCUGAUUACUCAAAGGGGUGAGUGUAUCUUCUCUUCAUAUUCUGCUCGGUGUGGUAUUGGAAAUCAAAUCAAUUAGAAGUGUUUUACCUUCUAUCUCUACCACACAGGUAGGAUACACAUACUUCGCUUUUAUACUAUCCCCUUAAACUCCGAGGUUCUGAGUCUCAGAAAUUCCUGUACAGUAAUCCCCUCAUCAUCUAGAGCUCGCCUGGCCAAACUUCUUGGCACAGG